AUGAACGCUGGCGGCGUGCUUAACACAUGCAAGUCGAACGAAGCACUUUAUUUGAUUUCCUUCGGGACUGAUUAUUUUGUGACUGAGUGGCGGACGGGUGAGUAACGCGUGGGUAACCUGCCUUGUACAGGGGGAUAACAGUUGGAAACGGCUGCUAAUACCGCAUAAGCGCACAGCAUCGCAUGAUGCAGUGUGAAAAACUCCGGUGGUAUAAGAUGGACCCGCGUUGGAUUAGCUAGUUGGUGAGGUAACGGCCCACCAAGGCGACGAUCCAUAGCCGACCUGAGAGGGUGACCGGCCACAUUGGUACUGAGACACGGCCCAAACUCCUACGGGAGGCAGCAGUGGGGAAUAUUGCACAAUGGGCGAAAGCCUGAUGCAGCGACGCCGCGUGAGCGAAGAAGUAUUUCGGUAUGUAAAGCUCUAUCAGCAGGGAAGAUAAUGACGGUACCUGACUAAGAAGCACCGGCUAAAUACGUG
rnacentral:rRNA from 1 species